GAAAAGAAAGUUAAGAAACACAGAUACUGCUAACUAUCUGGUUCUGAAGUUAAACUCCUCAGUCUUCUCA
rnacentral:tRNA from 1 species